rnacentral:rRNA from 1 species
CAGUCGACGCUUCUUUUUCCCCGGAGCUUGCUCCAUCGGAAAAAGAGGAGUGGCGAACGGGUGAGUAACACGUGGGUAACCUGCCCAUCAGAAGGGGAUAACACUUGGAAACAGGUGCUAAUACCGUAUAACAAUCGAAACCGCAUGGUUUUGAUUUGAAAGGCGCUUUCGGGUGUCGCUGAUGGAUGGACCCGCGGUGCAUUAGCUAGUUGGUGAGGUAACGGCUCACCAAGGCGACGAUGCAUAGCCGACCUGAGAGGGUGAUCGGCCACAUUGGGACUGAGACACGGCCCAAACUCCUACGGGAGGCAGCAGUAGGGAAUCUUCGGCAAUAGACGAAAGUCUGACCGAGCAACGCCGCGUGAGUGAAGAAGGUUUUCGGAUCGUAAAACUCUGUUGUUAGAGAAGAACAAGGAUGAGAGUAACUGUUCAUCCCUUGACGGUAUCUAACCAGAAAGCCACGGCUAACUACGUGCCAGCAGCCGCGGUAAUACGUAGGUGGCAAGCGUUGUCCGGAUUUAUUGGGCGUAAAGCGAGCGCAGGCGGUUUCUUAAGUCUGAUGUGAAAGCCCCCGGCUCAACCGGGGAGGGUCAUUGGAAACUGGGAGACUUGAGUGCAGAAGAGGAGAGUGGAAUUCCAUGUGUAGCGGUGAAAUGCGUAGAUAUAUGGAGGAACACCAGUGGCGAAGGCGGCUCUCUGGUCUGUAACUGACGCUGAGGCUCGAAAGCGUGGGGAGCAAACAGGAUUAGAUACCCUGGUAGUCC